rnacentral:rRNA from 1 species
UUUUUAAAUUGAGAGUUUGAUCCUGGCUCAGGAUGAACGCUGGCGGCGUGCCUAAUACAUGCAAGUCGUACGCUAGCCGCUGAAUUGAUCCUUCGGG